rnacentral:rRNA from 2 species
CGGCGAGUGAAGCGGCAAUAGCUCAAAUUUGAAAGCUGGCGCCUUCGGCGUCCGCGUUGUAAUUUGUAGAGGAUGCUUCGGCGAGGACUCCUGCCUAAGUUCCCUGGAAUGGGACGUCACAGAGGGUGAGAAUCCCGUAUGUGGCGGGCGGUCCAAGCCAUGUGAAGCUCCUUCGACGAGUCGAGUUGUUUGGGAAUGCAGCUCUAAAUGGGAGGUAAAUUUCUUCUAAAGCUAAAUACCGGCCAGAGACCGAUAGCGCACAAGUAGAGUGAUCGAAAGAUGAAAAGCACUUUGGAAAGAGAGUUAAAAAGUACGUGAAAUUGUUGAAAGGGAAGCGCUUGCAACCAGACUCGCUCGCAGUUGCUCAGCCCGCCUCCUGGCGGGUGUACUCUUCUGCGAUCGGGCCAGCAUCAGUUCGGGCGGCCGGAUAAAGGUGUCGGGAAUGUAGCACCCUUCGGGGUGUGUUAUAGCCCGGCGCGGAAUGCGGCCAGCCUGGACUGAGGAUCUCGCUUCGGCAAGGAUGCUGGCGUAAUGGUUGUAAGCGGCCCGUCUUGAAACACGGACCAAGGAGUCUAACAUCUAUGCGAGUGUUUGGGUGUCAAACCCAUGCGCGUAAUGAAAGUGAACGGAGGUGGGAACCCGCAAGGGUGCACCAUCGACCGAUCCUGAUGUCUUCGGAUGGAUUUGAGUAAGAGCAUAGCUGUUGGGACCCGAAAGAUGGUGAACUAUGCCUGAAUAGGGUGAAGCCAGAGGAAACUCUG